AUGACCCGCUUUUGCGCGGGCGAAGACACAUCAAGAAGUCAUAGCACUUCAGAUACAAAGGAUACUAACGGCAGAACACAUCGUAACAGACACAAGCGCCGCAACAACGGCGUCAACGCCGAAGACAGGGCAGUCAAUGCCGGAUUCAGUGGCUCUAAAUCCGGUCCGCGGAAAAAGGCGUUCAAAAGAAGUAAUCCGGGCCCGUCCAGUUUGGACCGCAUACUCGAUCGCUCGUGUCAAAUUCACGGCACCCCCGAUAAGCCAGCCAAUCACACCAACAGAGAAUGCUGGGUGUUCAAGCAGGCCGGCAAGUUGAACGCCGAAAACAAGGACAAGGGGCCGCAUAGCGACGACGAGGAGGAGCCUCGGCCGCCGAACACAGGAGGACAGAAGAGGUUCCCUCCACAAGUGAAAACGGUGAACAUGAUAUACGCAACCCACAUUCCCAAGAGGGAACGGAAGCGUGCACUAAGGGACGUCUAUGCGAUGGAGCUAGUCGCCCCAAAGUUCAACCCAUGGUCCUCUUGUCCGAUCACCUUCGAUCGUAGGGACCACCCCACUAGUAUCCGUCAUGGCGGAUCUGCCACAUUGGUCCUUGACCCCAUCAUCGACGGAUUUCACCUCACUCGAGUCCUUAUGGACGGCGACAGCAGCCUGAACCUGCUCUAUCAGGAUACAGUGCGCAAAAUGGGUAUAGACCCCUCAAGGAUCAAACCCACUAAAACCACCUUUAAAGGUGUCAUCCCAGGUGUAGAGGCCCAUUGCACGGGCUCAAUCACACUGGAAGUGGUCUUCGGAUCUCUGGACAACUUCCGAAGCGAGGAGUUAAUCUUCGAUAUCGUCUCGUUUCGCAGUGGCUAUCACGCACUGCUUGGGCGAACCGCAUUUGCCAGAUUCAAUGCGGUACCGCAUUAUGCAUACCUCAAGCUCAAAAUGCCAGGACCUCGUGGGGUUAUAAAAGUCAAUGGCAACACAGAACGCUCGCUUCGCACGGAGGAACACACUGCGGCCCUCGCAGCAGAAGCACAAAGCAGCCUUUUAAGGAAAACCGUCAAUUUGGCGAUAAAGCCCCCGGACACCUUCAAGCGAGUACGGAGUAACCUGCAACAGGAUCGCCUGGCACGUCCAGAGCUCGCCUAG
rnacentral:rRNA from 1 species